rnacentral:rRNA from 1 species
UAGGGAAUCUUCGGCAAUGGGGGGAACCCUGACCGAGCAACGCCGCGUGAGUGAAGAAGGUUUUCGGAUCGUAAAGCUCUGUUGUUAAGGAAGAACGAGUGUGAGAAUGGAAAGUUCAUACUGUGACGGUACUUAACCAGAAAGGGACGGCUAACUACGUGCCAGCAGCCGCGGUAAUACGUAGGUCCCGAGCGUUGUCCGGAUUUAUUGGGCGUAAAGCGAGCGCAGGCGGUUAGAUAAGUCUGAAGUUAAAGGCAGUGGCUCAACCAUUGUAGGCUUUGGAAACUGUUUAACUUGAGUGCAGAAGGGGAGAGUGGAAUUCCAUGUGUAGCGGUGAAAUGCGUAGAUAUAUGGAGGAACACCGGUGGCGAAAGCGGCUCUCUGGUCUGUAGCUGACGCGGAGGCUCGAAAGCGUGGGGAGCGAACAGG